UGCAGAGGGUGCGAGCGUUGUUCGGAAUUAUUGGGCGUAAAGGGCGCGUAGGCGGUGCGGUAAGUCACCUGUGAAAUCUCCUGGCUCAACUGGGAGCUUGCAGGCGAAACUGCCGUGCUGGAGUGUGGGAGAGGUGCGUGGAAUUCCUGGUGUAGCGGUGAAAUGCGUAGAUAUCGGGAAGAACACCCGUGGCGAAGGCGGCUCUCUGGAACGCAACUGACGCUGAGACGCGAAAGCGUGGGGAGCAAACAGG
rnacentral:rRNA from 1 species